UGCCCAGCAACUCCUAUCCCUGCCUCCUCGUGGUACUGGCCGGGGUACGAGUAACCUUAGAAAGAUCGGGUAACCAACCCCGGUUGGAGCUUGGGUCGUAUCCUGACAGGGAAAG
rnacentral:ribozyme from 1 species